CGUUAAAACACCGGUUCCUAUAUGAUCACCAAAGUUAAGCAAUGUUGAGCCUGUUCAGUACCUAGAUAGGUGACUGCUUAAGAAUACA